UCUAUUUGAAGUUAUUUAUAGUCUAGCCUGCUCAGUGACAUUAAAGGUGUUAAAUAGCCGCGGUAUCCUGACCGUGCAAAGGUAGCAUAAUCAUUAGUUUUUUAAUUGAGAACUUGUAUGAAGGGUUGGACAAAGAAAAAGCUGUCUCUUUAAUUAAGAUUGAAAUUAACCUCUAAGUGAAAAGGCUUAGAUUAUCUAGAGGGACGAUAAGACCCUAUAAAGCUUUAUAAUGUUAAAAAUUCUAUGUAUUUUAUCUUAUAGAAAUGAGUUUUAAACCAUUUAUUGAGUUGGGGCGACAAAGGUAUAAUUUAAAGUAACUGCCGAUAAAUGUUACAAUUAUGUUUGUGUUAAAUAAUGUAUAGUUGAUCCCUUUUAAGGAUUAGGAGAUCAAGUUACUUUAGGGAUAACAGCGUAAUUUCACCUGAGAGUUCUUAUCAAAGGAGAAGUUUGCGACCUCGAUGUUGAAUUAAAAUGUCUUUAUAGUGCAGC
rnacentral:rRNA from 11 species